rnacentral:rRNA from 1 species
CCUACGGGUGGCUGCAGUCGCGAAUUUUUCACAAUGGGCGCAAGCCUGAUGGAGCCACGCCGCGUGCGGGAUGAAGGCCCUCUGGGUUGUAAACCGCUGUCGAGUGGGGGGAACCGCGUCCAGUGAAUAGCUGGACGCCUGACUGCCCGCUGAAGGAAGCCCCGGCAAAACAUGUGCCAGCAGCCGCGGUAAUACAUGUGGGGCAAGCGUUGUUCGGAAUCACUGGGCAUAAAGGGUGCGUAGGCGGUGCGGUAAGUCAGUGGUGAAAUCCCGUG